UUGGCACUUUUUACAAACUGUCAAUUUAAAUGUAAAUUUACUACAAAGAACAUUAAAAGAAAGAGAAUCUUGUAGAGAAAAAAUCAUAUUCAUUUGGCCACACUGCAUCAGAAACUCGAUUGUCAAAGUGAAUUUUUUAAUCAAUAUAGAACAAUAUAGAAUUAAAAAACAUAUAAGAUGGUGGACGAAUCAACCAGGAAAACAUUAAGUAGCAUUCCAUUAUUACAAACAAAGGCAGGACCGCGUGAUAAGGAUUUGUGGGUACAAAGAUUAAAAGAAGAAUACCAGGCUCUAAUAAAGUAUGUUCAAAAUAAUAAAAGUUCGGAUAAUGAUUGGUUCCGAUUAGAAUCAAAUAAGGAAGGAACUAAAUGGUUUGGGAAAUGCUGGUAUAUCCACAAUCUUUUAAAGUAUGAGUUUGAGAUUGAAUUUGAUAUACCUGUUACAUAUCCCACUACAGCACCUGAACUAGCUCUACCAGAACUGGAUGGUAAAACAGCAAAAAUGUAUAGAGGUGGAAAAAUAUGCUUAACAGACCAUUUUAAACCCCUAUGGGCAAGAAAUGUGCCGAAAUUUGGUAUAGCCCAUGCAAUGGCUUUAGGGCUUGGACCUUGGCUUGCAGUAGAAAUUCCUGAUCUCAUUGAAAAGGGUGUUAUAGCACAUAAAGAGAAAUCUGCAGAAUAAAAAUAGUAAAUACAAUACACAUAAAUUAUUUUUUAAUUUACUAGAAGAAGUAUAGGACAAAAUAAUUUGAAUGGGUCUGUAUAUUAGGAUAUAAAUAUUGCUGUUACUUUACAUCAUCCAAUUACCAAGUUGAUAAUUCACAAAUGAAACUUCAUACCAUUAAGUUGAUUUCAAGUUCACAAAUGUUAACAGGUCCCAGAUGAGUUCAAACAUAGAAGGGUAACCAAUGACUAUUUCAUCAGUAUCAAUAGUUAACAUAGUAAAACCUGCUCUAUUCAUAAGACUGCCAAUAUCACGAACAUCUGCGAAUGGAGAUAUAUGUGGAGAUACACCACCAUUCCUUUCUAAUUCAGCUAAUUGCAAGGAACCCCUGAGGAUGCAUAUUAUACCUCAGAUAAAGUACUUUAUGUGGACAUUAAUAAAUCAAGUAUUCCGUAAGAA